GACGAACGCUGGCGGCGUGCUUAACACAUGCAAGUCGAACGGAAAGGCCCAGCUUUCGUGGGGUGUUCGAGUGGAGCAGGGGUGGGAAACAUGUGAGAACCCUGCUUUAGUCUUUGGGAAGACUUCAGGAAAGUGGGGCAUAUUGCAGAUGGCAUCUCCUGCCGCGUGGUGGGGGUUGGAAAGUUUUGGGGGUUGGGGAUGCACUCGCGGCAUAUCAGCUUGUUGGUGGGGUAGUGGCUUACCAAGGCGUUGACGGGUAGCCGGCCUGAGAGGGUGACCGGCCACACUGGGACUGAGAUACGGCCCAGACUCCUACGGGAGGCAGCAGUGGGGAAUAUUGCACAAUGGGCGGAAGCCUGAUGCAGCGACGCCGCGUGCGGGAUGACGGCCUUCGGGUUGUAAACCUCUUUCAGUAGGGACGAAGCGUGAGUGACGGUAACUGCUGAAGAAGCGCCGGCUAACUACGUG
rnacentral:rRNA from 1 species